GAAGGAUGGGAUGCUAUCCAGAGGGACCUGGAGAAGCUCAAGAGGAUUUUCCCAUGAAGGAGACUUUAUGAAGUUGUUCACCACUCCAGUCAAGCCUGUAGCUCCGCAUGGGGUUGUUGUGACCUAAGUAAGAUUCCAGCACUUCACCGUGUUGAACUUCUUAAA